AUUAUGAUAAUGUUAAUGCGCAUCUCCGAACGUGCAGAGGAUAAAUGAGCAGUUUUCAGAAUUCUACCUUUUAGCGUUCUACACACGAUCGGAGCGUAAAUGUGCCCGUAGUCUGCCUGUUCCUAUAAGCUACUUUAAACGAUCAUCUUUGAUUGUGUUGGCUCGUAGAUCAUAGAGGAAGCGAUUUACCUAUCUUUCGGAACAAGAACUACAGUUAAAAACAGCGACCAAUUGAGAACGGUAGUUAAGUCCGCGAGUAGAGGGGUGAGCGUGUUUUAGCGGCGACAACAGCACACGGUAUGCAGAUACGAAGCCGGGGUAAACCGGGAAGCCGUAGUUCACGGACCGUAGUAAGCGUGGUAACUCUGAACAGUCAACGACAUUUGAAAGCCGGCCGCGCUCUGGAAUUCAGAUUAUUAUACGGUUAGAAAUGACAUAUUUUUGGAGAUAUCGAGGAAUGGUACUUUUAAGUAAUUUUGAUUUUCAUCACUCAUAAAUUGAACCGAGGAAAUUCCAUCAAUUUAUUUACCGGCUGUUAAAAAGUUUUAAUGAAAUGGGACAAAUGGUAAUUAGUUGCGAAAAUAAGGACAGUUGUGCCAGA
rnacentral:misc_RNA from 1 species